rnacentral:rRNA from 1 species
GGAGGGUGCGAGCGUUGUCCGGAAUCACUGGGCGUAAAGGGCGCGUAGGCGGCGCGGGCAGUCAACGGUGAAAGCUUGGGGCUCAACCCCGAGUCGGCCGUCGAUACUCCCGGGCUGGAGCACUGUAGAGGCAGGUGGAAUUCCGGGUGUAGCGGUGAAAUGCGCAGAUAUCGGGAGGAACACCGAUGGCGAAGGCAGCACUCUGGGCCGGCACUGACGCUGAGGAGCGAAAGCGUGGGGAGCGAACAGGAUUAGAUACCCUGGUAGUCCACGCCGUAAACGUUGGGCACUAGGUGUGGGGCCUUAUCAACGGGUUCCGUGCCGCAGCUAACGCAAUAAGUGCCCCGCCUGGGGAGUACGGCCGCAAGGCUA